CUUCUAAGUGAUACAUCUGUCUAGGUUGUUACCAUAAGAAAAUGUGAGACAUGUGAGUAAAAAUAAUUUAGAAAAAAGUUGAGGUGAGUUCAUUAUAAAACAUCCUACAUGGCUGGGUGUGGUGGCUCACGCCUAUAAUCCAAGCAAUUUGGGAGGCCGAGGCAGGUGGAUCAUCUGAGGUUGGGAGUUUGAGACCAGCCUGACCAAUGUGGAGAAGCCCUGUCACUACUAAAAAUACAAAAUUAGCAGGGCGUGGUGCCGGGCACCUCUUGUCUUAGCUACUCAGGAGGCUGAGGCAAGAGAAUCACUUGAACCCAGGAAGCAGAGGUUGCAGUGAGCGAAGAUUGUGCCAUUGCACUCCAGCCUGGGCAAGAAGAGCGAAACUCAAUCUCAAAAAUACAAAAGAACAUUCAACAUAAUUGCUUUUAAAAAGUAAACAUAAAAAUCAGCCUGGGCAACACAGCAAGACCCCGUCUGGCAUGGUGGGACAUGCUUAUAGUCCUGGCUACUUGGGAAACUGAAGUGGGAUAAUUGCUUGGGCCCGAGAGUUAGAGGCUGCAGUGAACCGUAAUCCCCACCACUGUACUCCAGCCUGGACAGCAGAGUAAGACCCUAUCUCUAAAAUAAAUAAUUAAUAUUAAAUAAAAAUAAAACUCAUGAGAACAAAUGAAAUAAAUCUUGUUUCCUUUUUUGAUAGAUUGAUGGGCCUGCUCAUAGAGGAAAUAGAGACCUGUGCAACAGACCUGCAGACCAAAGCUGACCGACUGGUACAGAUGAGCAUAUGUUCUUCAUUGGCCCGGAAAUUCCCCAAACUAACAAUUAUAGGGGAAGAGGUAAGAGUUGUCAGAGACUUUUUUUUAAAAUCCCUGCUUACCAAAUGGAUUUAUAACUGACACUUUAUUGAUUUAUAUACCAGUAUUAUGAUUUCAAGCAUUAUAUUAUUUUAAACACAAAUAAUUCUUGUAUUUCUUGGACUUGGGGGAAAUAUUUUAAGAUAUUUUGGUCUAUUUCUAGGCCAGAUGUCUUCAUUUUUGACCAUGGAAAAUAACGGUUACUGUUAUACCCAGCAUACAAACUAUAAGAUGAGCAGAGUUCUAGAACUUUGGAAUAAAAUGGGUUUUUUUGUUUGUUUUUAAAAUUAG
rnacentral:lncRNA from 13 species